rnacentral:lncRNA from 1 species
UGCACUGCCCUGCCUUCCUGGGACCUCGAAGACCUCCCUGUUUCCCUAUGAGACAGCUGACUCAUGUGGCCAUGAAGGUGGGGCUAGCAAGAGAAGACAGAAACUCUGGAUGGCAGGGGAGCCCAGAGAGCUUCAGGGGAGGAGGGGCUGGGAGCGGCUGCAUUCUGAGAAGGGGCAGGAGCUCCCAGGGAGGAGACAGAAGGACUUCUUGGGCUGAGUCUGCCAGAGACCAUAAAAACCUCAAUGUAUGAAAUUAGCUUCAUUCUGUAAAAUAGUUACAUCAAGGCGGCUGUCAGGAAAUCAAUAGCAUGCUGUAAUUAUGUCCAUAAACAUGCUGAAGAAGCAGGGGAGGUCAGUGGCAAAGGAAGGGGGUGGCCACUGCAAGGCCUUCGAAGACAUGAGUCAUGAAGCUGUGGGCAGUGGAGCCACCCCAGAGGGAGCCAGCUCCUCUCUUCUGCCACCGAUUAAUCCAGGGAGAAGGAAAUUCAAUUUGGCAAACAUUUAUUGAGCAUUUACUUUAGUCCAGCCGCUGGGGGCAGCAGCAGUGGGCUAGGUAUUGGGUUAGUGGGCCAACUCUCUUAAUCCAAAUCGUACUUUGCAAAUAUGCCAAGUGGGAAGUUACUGGAAUUGACACAGCGCUAGUAAAUAUAGACCUUUUGGGGAACAAGAAGAGAGGAAUUUGCCCACACUUCUUCAUAUUUGGAUUUACAGAUACAGCUGAUUCUGCUCUGAGGAUGGUGCUUGCAAUUCCAGUGGCUGAUAUAUGACCCACUUGCACUCAAAAGCUCUUCCUUUAAAAUUCAAAUACUAUACAUUUUGGAGAAGGACGGAAACUCACAAUUUCUGAGCGCUCAACAGUUCUGUGCUUUACCUAUAUUAUAUCGUCUUCUCAAAAAUAUAAGUUGGGAAUUUGAAUCUCCCAUUUUAUAGAUCAAAAAACAGGCUCAGUAUAAAGAGGUGAUAUUUUCAACAUUAUGUUGAUAGUAAGUGGAAAUUUAUGUAUGAUUCAUACUUUAGUCUGAAUUGCUUUAAUUGUCACAGUGGUGAUUAGGACAAGCUCCUGGCUGAUACUGAUUUUGCUCAGAAAAUAAGAAUGUUGGCAGUAGAGGUGUUUGUGUGUUGGCUGGGACUGGAGAGAGAAGGAAGAAGGUAAAUUUGAGCUGG